UUGCCGAACAGCUGCCCGUUGGCAUCUCCUGCAAUCCACGAGAUGAAUCCCUCGGUGUGCUCGAGUCUCCUUAAUGGGGAACCUGGUCAUUUGUGAGGAAUCAGCUGUACAUGUGGGAUGGGACUGACUUUUGGAGCACCUUUUUGGACCUUUAGGAGGAUUGGCUGUGCCAUCUUCAGGCUCCUGAUGGAAUCAGCUCUGCCUGAGCUGAGGGAAGGGUUCCUCCUGGCCAAGCAGCAGUAAAUGGAGUGGUGGCUCUGUGUUCCCUUGGUGCCUCUGCACUCCUCCUGAUGGCCCCAGGAGCAGCAACAAACAACCAGCACCUGACACAGCCUGAAAGGUUGGCCCUGGUGUACUUCACACACCAGGUGUAAGGAAGAGACUCUUUACUGGGAGUGGUGAGGCUCUGGAACAAGGUGCUGACCCAGAGGUGAUGGCUCCACAUCCCUGGAAGUGUCCAAAGCCA